UGGGUGCUGUGUUCUGUCUAUCCUGUUAUCCUUUUGAGACUUAAUUUUCGGCAUUUAAGUAAAGGAUGAAUUUCAUAUUAGGAUUUUCGAUUAUUGUUUUUUUUGUCAUUUCGUUUUUUUUUUAUAGCUGGUUAGGCGUUAAAGGAUUUGCUCAUGAUUGAAGGUCGUAAGAGGCGAGCUACAGUUGUUGGCAUUGGAAUCUAAAUUUUGUUGUGUCAUGCAUGGCUAAGUGCAUUUAAGCCUAUAUGCAGUCAAUCCUUUGUGUUUUGAAUAAUUCAAAAUUUGGUAAACAAUAAAUGUAUACAAUUGAUCGUAUCAAUGAUACUUAAUGUCAACACAGAAGUGCAGACUACUGGGCUAGUGAAACCAUCGAUU
rnacentral:lncRNA from 1 species